rnacentral:tRNA from 1 species
GCCGUUGUAGCUCAACUGGUAGAGCAACUGACUUGUAAUCAGUAGGUUGGGGGUUCAAGUCCUCUCGACGGCAUCA